rnacentral:rRNA from 1 species
UACGUAGGGUCCGAGCGUUGUCCGGAUUUAUUGGGCGUAAAGAGCUCGUAGGCGGUUCCGUAAGUCAGAUGUGAAAACUCAGGGCUCAACCCGGAGACGCCAUCUGAUACUGCGGUGACUGGAGUCUGGUAGGGGAACACGGAAUUCCUGGUGUAGCGGUGAAAUGCGCAGAUAUCAGGAGGAACACCGGUGGCGAAGGCGGAUCUCUGGGCCUUACCUGACGCUCAGGUGCGAAAGCUAGGGGAGCGAACAGG